rnacentral:rRNA from 1 species
UACGUAGGGUGCGAGCGUUAAUCGGAAUUACUGGGCGUAAAGCGUGCGCAGGCGGUUCGUUGUGUCCGAUGUGAAAGCCCCGGGCUUAACCUGGGAAUGGCAUUGGAAACUGGCGAGCUUGAGUGCGGCAGAGGGGGGUGGAAUUCCGCGUGUAGCAGUGAAAUGCGUAGAGAUGCGGAGGAACACCGAUGGCGAAGGCAGCUGCCUGGCCUGACACUGACGCUGAGGUGCGAAAGCGUGGGGAGCGAACGGG